rnacentral:lncRNA from 10 species
CAGAGAAAGGAUUAUUUGAGGACACCAAGAGGUGACCAUCAGCAAGCCCAGGAGAGAGGCCUCAGAAGAAACCAGACCUGCUGAUUCCUUGAUCUUGAACUUCUAGCCUCCGGAACUAUCCAACUUGAAUGCUUCCUGAUUAAAUAUAUACAGGAGUGAUUUCAGAGGAAUUUAAGUUUUGGAUCAUUCUUUUGAGAAAGAAAGAAAAGUACCCUUUUAAAAGAGACUUUCUUCUGCCACUGCCACUCCUGAGACAACAUGACCAAUCUCUCCCCUUCCUCCUCCUCAGCGUACUUUCAACAUAAAGACGACGAGGAUAAAGGCAUUUAUGAUGAACUACUUCCACAUAAUGAAUAAUUGAACAAAGGAGAGAAUUGUGAGAGUGAGAAAAAGUGAGACAAAGAAGAAAAACUAUAAAUCAGCAAAAUACAGUGCCAAGAGCUCUGGACCACAAAUCAGAAGACCUGAGCCCUAAUUCCUUUCCAGUCAUUGGAUUUGUUCGUCGCUUGCCAAAAUAGCAGCGAACUCUCUGUCAAACUGCAACUCAUUUUAUCGGAGCAAAAACUGAACAAAGAACUGCUAUCAUUUCUGAGGUCAGAGGCAGUGCAGCUUGUGUUACAACUCAAAAGAGUAAUACUCUGAAAAAAGAAAAAAAAAGAUGGCGCUGAAAAUAAACAUGUUCAGCAGCCAUUGUGAUUCAACUUACCCAGAUGUGCUUUUCAUGAGAUGGAGAAGGACGGAUGGAAAAGAAAAGCACACAAAUGUUAAUGGAUACAGUUCAAUCCAAAGAAAACCAUGGAAUAAAACAAGAGCAUUAUUUAAGAUGUGAGAAAGCUCAGGUAUGAGAAAGACAUGGUGCCAUUUUGUAUUUCAUCAUGACACACAUACUCACUGCGUCGAAAAGCAUAGUCAGGCUGAGGGUAGUUCUAAUAGUUGACCAAUAAGUCUAUGUCUUGAGUAUGAGCCACU